AGCGGAGCGAGACUUUGUCAACAGCGCCAACAUGGCCAUGCACAUGGUUACUUCCCGAUGGAGGAGCUGGCCGGUAUCCGCGAAGCUGGGCUUUCCGUAACCGAGACAGCCCUGACACAUCCGUUGGAAUGGGAAUGUGCAGCGGAUGUGGCCGGAAUAACCGGAGGUUGGAAUUUGCCGCAGUUCGCGUCCGGAGACUGGCAGGUCGUGGCGUUGGAUACAAACAGUGAAAUACCGGCAAAAGGAAAUGGUGUGCAGCCGAAAGGAAGGCCGGACGGACUUUUCACCUGGUAUCGGGUUGAGUUUGAACUGCCGAAGCGGGAAGCCGGUGUCUGGAUUCCCUGGCUGGCGCGGAUAAAUGCGUCCGGCAAUGGGUUUAUGUGGUUGAACGGUCAUAACAUCGGCCGCCAUUGGGAAGCGGGUCCGCAGCGUGAGUUUUAUCUGCCGGAAUGUUGGCUCGAUUUCGGACCGGGGAAGAAAAAUGUACUGGUGAUGGGGUUGCGGCAAACUGCCAACGGUGCUAAGUUGAAGGCGGUGGAGAUUGCUCCUUACCGGGAUAUGGCGGAAAUCAGAAAGUAAAAACGAUUUGUAUUAUGAAUAUAAAAAUUUUUUUAGCGGGCUGCUUUUUCGGAAUGAGUGCUCUUUCGGUGGAGGCACAGCAAGUAUGGACGCCGGAUAAUGGCGACGGGACGUUUACCAAUCCUAUCAUGUGGGGCGACUGGCCCGAUCCGGAUGUGAUACGGGUAGGGGACGAUUUCUAUUUUGUCUCUACCAGUAUGCAUUAUGUACCUGGUUGCCCGAUUGCCAAAUCGAAAGACUUGGUGAACUGGGAGAUGGUCGGGAGGCACAGAUCCGGAGGCGCCAGCCCCCGGGGAGCCGCCCUUGGAAUACUGCCCUCGCGCGACCGGCGUCCUAACCCGAGGCCGUCGACCGGCUCGGGGACCGUGCCAGGCGGGCAGUUUGACUGGGGCGGUCGCCUCCUAAAGGGUAACGGAGGCGCGCGAAGGUCCGCUCGGGACGGUCGGCAACCGUCCUUUUGAAUGCAAGAGUACAAGCGGGCUUGACUGCGAGGCCCACAAGCCGAGCAGGUGCGAAAGCAGGCUCUAGUGAUCCGGCGGCCCCGAGUGGGUGGGCCGUCGCUCAACGGAUAAAAGGUACUCCGGGGAUAACAGGCUGAUCUUGCCCAAGAGUCCACAUCGACGGCAAGGUUUGGCACCUCGAUGUCGGCUCAUCGCAUCCUGGGGCUGAAGUCGGUCCCAAGGGUUGGGCUGUUCGCCCAUUAAAGCGGUACGCGAGCUGGGUUCAGAACGUCGUGAGACAGUUCGGUCCCUAUCCUCCGUGGGCGCAGGAGAAUCGAUGGAGGCUGCCCCCAGUACGAGAGGACCGGGGUGGACGCACCUCCGGUGAACCGGUUGUCGACCAACGGCACGGCCGGGUAGCCGCGUGCGGCGCGGAUAACCGCUGAAGGCAUCUAAGCGGGAAGCCGUUCCAGGGAUUAGUUCUCCUUCCGGUAAGGGCCCAGGUAGACUACCUGGUCGAUAGACGGCAGGUGCAAGGACGGCGACGUCCUCAGCCGAGCCGCACUAAUCGCCCGAGCUCUUCCGGA
rnacentral:rRNA from 1 species